rnacentral:lncRNA from 1 species
CAGACAAUUACUGCGAUUUCGUUGGCGUUGCCUAUAAAAACAACCAAAUCAGCCGCAGCUCUCACAGUUGAGAUUGGACUAUUGCAAUAAAUAUGAAGUGGAUUUCUAUGGUCUUCGUUUUGGGUCUAUUGGCUUUGGCCAGUGGUGAGUUGACAAAGCCUUUGCACAUUAUUGUGUCAGCAGUUCGACAAUUUGAAUUACUAUGUUUUGGUCUGUGAAAUCCUUAACGUGAACUUGUUUUCUAUUUCCACAGCAUCCCCGCUGACGCCCGGAAACGUAAUAAUAAACGGAGAUUGCCGUAGUUGCAAUGUGCACGGGGGCUAACGUAGAGAAGAUCGUGGUGAUGCAGUGGCUAUACUGGCCAAGAGAAUAGAUAAAUAAACUGCACCAGAAAUGUAUUUCGUUCAUUUUAUUUUAUUUUUGAAUGUUUAUUGAAUGUUAUUGCCAUUUACCUAGGACCUAGUCGCCUCGUAUGUUGCAAACUUUGCAGUCCCCGUUGAUGAUCACGUUGCCAGGACUCAGGGGGUUGGCUAGAAACAAAAAAAUAACCUAUGUUAGUGGAGACUUGCCUCUUGACUUUAGAGCAGAGUCUCCAACUCACCACUAGCCAGGGCACAAAGGCCCAGAACGAAAGCAAUCGACAGCCACUUCAUGAUUUAAAUGAUUUGGGUACUUGGCAGCAGCUAAUCUGUCGACCGGCUCGAGCAGGUCUCUUUUCUAACCUCAUCUGGUGCUACAGCAAUUGCGCAUUUUCGAUUCAUGUAUUUAGUUAGUGCAAUCUAAGCUGUAGCUGAGGCCAUUGCGUCUUGAUUUGAUUCUGAUUAUAUUUGAUUAUUCGCUGCCGGAGAACCCGAAACGAUCUGUUGAACAUAUUGAAACUGUUCAUAUGCAUUUGCUACACUGUGCUGCAAGUAUUUAUUAGAAUUUGAACAGAACAUGCAGCUGAUACCUGAUACAUGGAACUGUCUAAGAGGUAAUUAAAAAGCUAGAGCCGCCUGCCCACGCUACUUUAAAUAUAUAAAUAUAUACAUUCACACAUGUGUACGUACAUACAUAUAAUGUGUAUACUUAUAUUUGAGUACUCAUCAGAGACAGGGAAACCAAAUCCCUAAGCUCCUGCAACUGCAUAAAGUAAAGCUUAAAAUGGCUUUGCCCCUUUCCAAAUAAACAUUGACUAUUUACGAAAGUUGAGUUUGUUUAAGUUUCGAAACUCCUGGAAGGACUCUCUCUGAGAGCUCAAACUGAACUGGUUCAAUGGUAUGUGCGUUCGACUCCGCAGAAGGCACACACUCGUAAAUGAACGUGUCUGCGGUUGAAUUAACUUUUCCCCCAAAAGUUCCUGUCUGUACGAGUGGGUUGGCGCACAUUGUUGGCAAUUAAGCGAAUGAUUCACAAAAAGGGCAGCACCGAGGCCGAGGCUUCUGAUACUCUAGCAGGUCUAUAUCUAUCCGAAAUAUUCUUAUCCUUAUCCUUUGCGAUGUUAGUUUGCAAAAAAUAUGUUUACCCAAUUCAAUAGCAUAAAACAACGAACCAAGGGCACCAUGUAAAAAGCAUUUUGAGUGGUGUGGGUGGGUUUUGGGGAGAUUGCUACAGAGUCAGAUUGGGACACCGAAAGGGUUUAACUCUCUCAUCCAGCUCGAAGCUCCAGUACCAGCUCCAGCACCAGCUCCAGCACCAGCUCCAGCACCAGCUCCAGCUGGAUUACCGAACUGUGCAUUUGUGUGCGAGGGAGAGCGGCUUAUGCUGCACAAGCGUGUUGUUUCUUUGGGAACAUUCGUGAGCGUAAAAAGCAUUACGGUUAAAUGAACCCCACACAGACGCAUGUGACUAUCCACGUGCACGAGAGUAUUAUUUGUGUCUUUGUAUGGCCGUACGCAUGGCUGGCACGUGUGCGUUAACAAUUUAAUUACGUUGUGGUGUGGCAGUGUGGUGGGGUGCCACAGGUUUGGGACAGCUGCCACAUGUCACUCGGCAAAGUUAAUCACCCCGUCAAGAGGGCAUUCAGGUAUUAAAGACUUUCUGUGGCAUCCGCUGUCUUACACUUAAAGCCAUAGCCAUUAGCAGCAUGCAUACACAUUUACAUACAGAUGCACAUAUGUAAAUGCCUUUACUUUGUGUUAGUUAUGCAAUAAAAGCUUCCUUGGUAUAACUAUAACGAGUGUUUCAAUUCGAAUAAGUUUCGCAGCUUGCAUUAAAUUUGAAUGUUGGUGGUUUUAUUAAGCGCCCCCUUUUACUCUGUUCGUCUCUCUUUUUAUACCCGGUACCCGAAGAGUAAAUAGGGUAUAUUGUAUUUGUGAGGAAUAACGGGCAGAAGGCAACGUUUCCGACCUCAUAAAGUAUAUAUAUUAUAAAUAAGCAUCAAUAGACGAGUCGAUAGAGCCAUGUCUGUCUGUCCGUCAGUCUGAAGGUUUUUUAUAAAAAAACACUAUAAAAUAUAACCGCGAAAAUACUUUUCUUCGCAAUGCAUGGUGCAUUGGUUAGAGAAUUUAGAGGUCUCUCUAAGAGUUAGUACUCAGUACUAGCACGAGCGUAAUGUUUUGUUAUUUCAACUUGGCAAAAAUGGAUUAUUGCAUUUGUUUUGUCAUUUAAUUGCGUUGCAACAUACUUACUAGACACACCAAACUAUAAGUUGGAUUGCUUAAUACUGUUCCAGGAAGCUUUAAAUCACGCAAAGAGUAGAACGCUUGUAAAUGAAAUAGUUUCGGCACAUGUCACAUGCGGCAAAUAAUGCCCGCAAGUAUAUUUCACUGAUGUAAUGUCUGUACGGGAGGUAUAAAUCCUACAAUUGAAUGCAGUUGUGCCAAAACACGGCGCAUUCAUUUUAUCAGCUAUUCCCUAUUCCUUAAAGAAGAUAAAUGUCGCGUUUGAAGUUUAUACUCCAUUAGUAUCCGGUUUUAAAUUAUGUAGCUUUGUGUUCGUUCACCAAGAGCACUUCAUCAGUGCUCAGUGAUGGAUUGAACAAUAUUAAUAUAAACUCCAAUUCAUGUUUAAGCUAGCAGAGGUUCUUUAUGUUUGUUUAUGUAUGCACUUUAAAACCAGUAGGAACGUUUGUGAGACACUUCGUACUCGUCAUAACUUUGUUACCCGGUACUCAGUAUUCAUAUGCAUGUAUGUAUGUACAUAUGUAACCUUAGUGUGAUACAUAUGCAUGCAUGUAUGUAGUUGUUUUAUAAUUGCUUGAUGGCAAUGUGAACAUUUAUUAAGCAAUGCUGAACUUAUAUUCAUUAAAGUAGCUCCAAGUUUACAUUUGUUACAAUAAGGUAUUCUAUUCUAAUGCGUGACUGAGUGCGAGUCGGAGUACUCUGGUCUCUGAGUACUAGGCGCUCAUCAGGACGAACGGACGCACAGACAGACAUAGUUAUUAUGGCUCGUCUAUUGAUGCUGAUCAAGAAAACAUAACCUAUUUAUUCUUUUGGUACCGGGUAUAAUAAGAAAAAGGGCAAGUGAUAACCGUCACAUAACCGUUCGCGGGGAAACAAACAGAAAAUAAACUUUAGUUUCAAUUGUUCAAAUUAUAAUAAUUCAUUGCUGCACUAAAAAGUCAUUGAAAAUUACGAUCGAAAAAUUGCACAGAAUGUAAUGUGUCGCUUGUCGGAGCAACUUCUGUAUGCGCAACAUGUACAUAUAAUGUAAAAUUCGGCAUAUUAAUUUAAAAUCCAGAUUUGGAGUUAAAAAUAAUAAAAGCACAUUUUUUGAUUUCUUGGCGUAAAGCUUGAGCUAUAGCAAAGAUCAAGUGCAUGGCUGCGUUACUCCACUAAACUAAAUAAGUUGAAAAUCUUUGGGUGAACCAAUGUUUUUACAGAGUAUGAAAAACGUCCAAGAGAUACAUGGUUUAAGUAAAAUUUUAUAAGAUAUGCUAAUAACAAUACUCGUUCAAGAAAAGUUGCAUUGGGCUUGAGCUCAUAAAGUUGAAAAUAUUUCAGUGUGCAAGAAUGUAUUGAAAUUUAAUGUACACACUACGUCUUUCAGGUACAGGUAACAUAAUGUUUCGGUAGUAUAGAUAGAUAGAUAUGUUGAAACUGAUUUGUCGC